rnacentral:rRNA from 1 species
AAGACCUUGCACUUUUGGAGCGGCCGAUGUCUGAUUAGCUAGUUGGUGGGGUAAUGGCCUACCAAAGCUUCGAUCAGUAGCUGGUCUGAGAGGACGGCCAGCCACACUGGGACUGAGACACGGCCCAGACUCCUACGGGAGGCAGCAGUGGGGAAUUUUGGACAAUGGGCGCAAGCCUGAUCCAGCCAUGCCGCGUGAGUGAAGAAGGCCUUCGGGUUGUAAAGCUCUUUCAGCCGGGAAGAAAAGGUUGCGACUAAUAAUCGCAAUCCAUGACGGUACCGGAAGAAGAAGCACCGGCUAACUACGUGCCAGCAGCCGCGGUAAUACGUAGGGUGCGAGCGUUAAUCGGAAUUACUGGGCGCAAAGGGUGCGCAGGCGGUUUUGUAAGUCAGAUGUGAAAUCCCCGGGCUUAACCUGGGAACU